AUUGAACGCUGGCGGCAGGCUUAACACAUGCAAGUCGAACGAGUGGCGGACGGGUGAGUAAUGUCUGGGAAACUGCCUGAUGGAGGGGGAUAACUACUGGAAACGGUAGCUAAUACCGCAUACCAUCAGAUGUGCCCAGAUGGGAUUAGCUAGUAGGUGGGGUAACGGCUACCCUAGGCGACGAUCCCUAGCUGGUCUGAGAGGAUGACCAGCCACACUGGAACUGAGACACGGGCCAGACGCCUACGGUAGGCAGCAGUGGGGAAUAUUGCACAAUGGGCGCAAGCCGGAUGCAGCCAUGCCGCGUGUGUGAAGAAGGCCUUCGGGUUGUAAAGCACUUUCAGCGGGGAGGCGUUACCCGCAGAAGAAGCACCGGCUAACUCCGUGCCAGCCGCCGCGGUAAUAC
rnacentral:rRNA from 1 species